CGAACUUUCUUACACUGAUAUUUAACCCCAAUUCAAUUAAUGUCUACCACAUUGACUAUUAACAUACAUUUUAAAAGACAAUUUAAAUAAUAUUUAUAAUAUUAUAUUUAUUUCCUAACACCAUUCAGUAUGUUAUAUUGAAAUAUUCACAAUUAAAUAUAAUAUGCUAAGUGUGCUGUGUAUUAUUCAAUAAAUAUCAGAUAAGAUCAGGAUCAGAUAAGAGAUCAAUUAGCAUCAUAAACACUAAUCCCUAUCAGUGCUCCAUCUAGCCAAAACAAAGGGGUGUUUAUAGAAUUUUGAUUGGUUCUGGGACCAUCUAUUUGAAAACAAACCACUUUUGAUUGGUUGGAGCACAGCAAGUUAUUUGGAGCACAGGAAGUUAUUUUUGUAAACAAUUUGGUUUCAGCAACUUAAAUUGAGCUAAAUUAUAGGUAUAAUUCAGCAACAUUAAUUCUAGUGUCAAAUGUCUUGAAAUUCUUUCAGCACAUGAACUAUUGUGUGAUGCAAAAACAAUGUGUGUUUACUACAAUGUGUAAAUCAACAAUAAGUUUGUUGCAAAGAAGAUUCAAAGUGGGUGGUUAAAGUGAAUGCUGAAGAACAGCUGUAACAGGUUAAACCCCAAGGUGAAAUUUACAUUGAUCGGAAGAUCCAUUGGACAGAAUGUGCAUCAUCGCCUGCCAAAAAAGGGAGCAAAAAGGGGACUACCUGAUGUAUGGACAUGUAUACCAGGCCAACUUGAGGGGAACAGGAGUGGGAAACCGUGCCCUGUAGCUUGUCCUUGACCAAGAAAAGAUGGAUUUGUUGAGAGGACCUGAUCUCAAAUGAGAUCAUGCACGAGAAGCGCCUCGCAGACCAUGACAGUAGUAUUCAGACCUGAUCAGCUGGUGAAGUGCUCUAUAAAGGGUUGUUUAUGAAUGCAUUCUUUGUAAGGAACAGUGUAUAACAACAAAUAUAGUGACAGGGGCUAAGCUGCUAAAUAUUGUCAGAAUGUAUGCAGUGAUUUUCUUUGGAAAUUUAAAACAACCUGUACGUACUGGCUCUCAGAAGGGCAUGUUUUAGCGCAAUAAUGAACAAAAAAAGGAAGAUCUUAAAAAUAAGGUAUAGAUUUAUAUAAAUUUCAUGAAUACUGUUCAUUUAUCAUAUAUUAGGAUCCAGAAUAUGAUUGAAUUGAAUGUGAUGCUUUUAUCCAUAUUAAAAAGGGAUUUGGAAUUAAUGUAAUACAUAAAAAUCUAGUAAAUGAUAGGGAAAACAUUUCAGCUUAAGGAGGGGAAAUCUUUAAUAUUUUUGAAGCGGAAACCACCUGUAUUUGGCUGUUAAUCAGUUACCGAUAAUCAGAGGGGAGAAAAAUCACUGGUAUUAGCUUGAUAUUUUCAAUUGUUAAUUCCAGAUAGGCAAUAGCCCGUUUGAAUCCUCUCUUUUAUGUAGAUAUGUAACAUUUGUUUUUGUUUUUUAAGGUUUAACAUUCUAAUAAAAGUGUGUAUUUAUCUAUUGAAUUGUACUUUUUGUUUUUUAUGUAUGUGUUUACACUAACCUUUCAUUUAAAGAAUGAAUGCUGACUUCAAAAUGCUGGGACUUUUUUAAUUUGGUUAAUUUUUAAGCAUAUUAAUUUGAAGUGAUGAAAAGUACACUUGAGCGUAUAAUGCGCUUAA